GUGGAUUAGAUACCCCGGUAGUCCACGCUGUAAACGAUGGUCACUAGGUGUGGGGGGUGUCGACUCCCCCCGUGCCGGCGCUAACGCAUUAAGUGACCCGCCUGGGGAGUACGGCCGCAAGGCUAAAACUCAAAGGAAUUGACGGGGACCCGCACAAGCAGCGGAGCAUGUGGUUUAAUUCGACGCAACGCGAAGAACCUUACCUGGGCUUGACAUGUUCCUGACCGCCGUGGAAACACGGCUUCCCUUCGGGGCAGGAUCACAGGUGGUGCAUGGUUGUCGACAGCU
rnacentral:rRNA from 1 species